rnacentral:rRNA from 1 species
CCCUCCCAGAAAGGGACGGCUAAAUACGUGCCCAGCAGCCGCGGUAAUACGUAUGUCCCGAGCGUUAUCCGGAUUUAUUGGGCGUAAAGCGAGCGCAGACGGUUUAUUAAGUCUGAUGUGAAAGCCCGGAGCUCAACUCCGGAAUGGCAUUGGAAACUGGUUAACUUGAGUGCAGUAGAGGUAAGUGGAACUCCAUGUGUAGCGGUGGAAUGCGUAGAUAUAUGGAAGAACACCAGUGGCGAAGGCGGCUUACUGGACUGCAACUGACGUUGAGGCUCGAAAGUGUGGGUAGCAAACAGGAUUAGAUACCCUGGUAGUCCACACCGUAAACGAUGAACACUAGGUGUUAGGAGGUUUCCGCCUCUUAGUGCCGAAGCUAACGCAUUAAGUGUUCCGCCUGGGGAGUACGACCGCAAGGUUGAAACUCAAAGGAAUUGACGGGGACCCGCACAAGCGGUGGAGCAUGUGGUUUAAUUCGAAGCAACGCGAAGAACCUUACCAGGUCUUGACAUCCUUUGAAGCUUUUAGAGAUAGAAGUGUUCUCUUCGGAGACAAAGUGACAGGUGGUGCAUGGUCGUCGUCAGCUCGUGUCGUGAGAUGUUGGGUUAAGUCCCGCAACGAGCGCAACCCUUAUUGUUAGUUGCCAGCAUUCAGAUGGGCACUCUAGCGAGACUGCCGGUGACAAACCGGAGGAAGGCGGGGACGACGUCAGAUCAUCAUGCCCCUUAUGACCUGGGCUACACACGUGCUACAAUGGCGUAUACAACGAGUUGCCAGCCCGCGAGGGUGAGCUAAUCUCUUAAAGUACGUCUCAGUUCGGAUUGUAGUCUGCAACUCGACUACAUGAAGUCGGAAUCGCUAGUAAUCGCGGAUCAGCACGCCGCGGUGAAUACGUUCCCGGGUCUUGUACACACCGCCCGUCACACCAUGGGAGUUUGUAAUGCCCAAAGCCGGUGGCCUAACCUUUAGGAAGGAGCCGUCUAAGCAGGACAGAUGUUGA